CUGCAGUCACUUGUAGUUAAAAUUCUGAAACCAGCAUAUAAAGUCAAGAGAGAAGGAGAAAAGUGUUACAUCACCAAAGAACCCCCUUUUUUUUCUUUUCUUUCUUUUCUUUCUUUUCUUUUCUUUUCUUUUCUUUUCUCUUCUUUUCUUUUCUCUUCUUUUCUUUUCUUUUCUUUUCUUUUUUUUCUUUUCUUUUUCUUUUUCUUUUCUUUUUCUUUUCUUUUCUUUUUCUUUUCUCUUGUCUUCCUUAUUCUUGUCUUUCUUUUCUAUUUUUUCUUUUCUUUUUUUUUUCCUUUCCUUCUUCCUUUCCUUUCCUUUCUCCUUUCCUUCCUUUCCUUUCCUUUCCUUCCUUUCCUUUCCUUUCCUUUUCCUUUCCUUUCCUUUCCUUUCCUUUCCUUUCCUUUCCUUCUCUUUCUUCCUUUCCUUUCCUUUCCUUUCCUUUCCUUACCUUCCUUCCUUUCCUUUCCUUCCUUUCCUUUCCUUUGCCUUUCCUUCUCUUUCCUUUCCUUUCUUUCCUUUCCUUCUCUUUUCUCUUUUCUCUUUUUCUUUCUUUUUCUUUUUUUCCUUCUCUGUCUCUUUCUCUUCUCUCUCUUUCUUCUCUUCUCUUCUCUUCUCUUCUUCUUCUUUUCUCUUCUCUUCUCUUCUCUCUCUUUUUCUCUUCCCUUCUCUUCCAUCUUCUUCUCUUCCUUCCCCAUUCUUUCUCUUCUCUUCUCUUCUCUCUCUUUCUCUUCUCUUCUCUUCUCUUCUCUCUUCUCUCUUCUCUUUCUUUCUCUUCUCUUUUUCUCUUUUCCUUUCUUUUUUUUUUUCCCCAAAAGGCGGGGGGGGGGGGGGAAAGUUUUAGCUUUAUUUACUGGACUUUUAUUUCUUUCUCAGGUGUCUUUGUUUGCACAGUGCCUGGAGAAAAGAAAAAGAGAUGGAAAAAAAAAAAGAGCAAAAAUUAAGAUCAAAUUAGAGAGAAUGAGAAAAAAAAAGGAAAGAAAAAGGGAGAAGGAGGAGAAGGAAGUCUCGAAAUGA
rnacentral:lncRNA from 1 species